CUAUGCGCCUUGCCAGCCCGCUCAGGUGUGCCAGCCGCCGCGGUAAUACGUAGGUGGCAAGCGUUGUCCGGAUUUACUGGGUGUAAGGGCGUACAGCCGGGAAGACAAGUCAGAUGUGAAAUCCCGCGGCUCAACCGCGGAACUGCAUUUGAAACUGUUUUUCUUGAGUACCGGAGAGGUCAUCGGAAUUCCUUGUGUAGCGGUGAAAUGCGUAGAUAUAAGGAAGAACACCAGUGGCGAAGGCGGAUGACUGGACGGCAACUGACGGUGAGGCGCGAAAGCGUGGGGAGCAAACAGG
rnacentral:rRNA from 1 species